UGACAGAGUUGUAUUUGACAUUUCUAGGAGUAUGUGAUGGAAAUGAACUUUAAACAAUGGAUAGUUGAUUAUGUGAACCAGUCACUACUACAGUUGACACCUUGUGAUGUUGAAAGCAAGCGUUACGAGAGGACGUCAUUUGCAGAAUGUCUUGGGGAAUUGAAUAUGAAUUGGCACCAUUUGCAAGGGACUCUGAAUGAAAAGAUAAAGGAGUUGGAGCACAUUUUGGAAUCUGUUGUUAAAAAU